rnacentral:rRNA from 1 species
GAUAAACGCUGGCGGCGCACAUAAGACAUGCAAGUUGAACGGACUUAAUCGAAAUAUUUAUAUUUUGAAGCGGUUAGUGGCGGACUGGUGAGUAACGCGUAAGGAACCUGCCUAUUAGAGGGGAAUAACAGUGAGAAAUCAUUGCUAAUACCGCAUAUGCCAUAGAUAUCACAUGAUAACAGUGGGAAAGGAGCAAUCCGCUAAUAGAUGGCCUUGCGUCUGAUUAGAUAGUUGGUGGGGUAACGGCCUACCAAGUCGACGAUCAGUAGCCGGACUGAGAGGUUGAACGGCCACAUUGGGACUGAGAUACGGCCCAGACUCCUACGGGAGGCAGCAGUCGGGAAUAUUGCGCAAUGGAGGAAACUCUGACGCAGUGACGCCGCGUAUAGGAAGAAGGUUUUCGGAUUGUAAACUAUUGUCGUUAGGGAAAAGAAAGGACAGUACCUAAGGAGGAAGCUCCGGCUAACUACGUG